rnacentral:rRNA from 1 species
AUGUUGCCUAAAAAGCAUCCAUCUGGUCAUCAGAAAAGAAUUAACAAGAAACGAGUAGAGAAGUUGAUUCGAUCUCAGAGAGGGGCUAUGAAUAAAUUCGUGUUGAGGAAGGACACUGCUACGAAUUCUACGCAAUUAUAUAUCACCAAUGGCGAACAACCAGAUCAGACUGAGAAUGCAGUUGAGGAAAAUCGUGCCGAUGUUGAUGCCAAUCAGAACACCGGAAAUUUUAGUGGCCAUGGAAACAUAGAUGAGCAAGCUUCUUCUUUUGAUAUUUAUGAUCCUAGAACUUGGAAUAUUCUUGACAAUAAAUCAAGAGAUAUUCUCAUUGAAAAAGGACCUACAAGGGAGUAUAAUCUUGUGUUUCCCAUGGAUAAGAAAGCCAGUGAUUGGAGGUGGUUAGUGUACUCUAAACAUGUGAAUAAAGUUUAUUGUUUUUGCUGUAAAUUGUUCAAAUCUGAAAACAGCAAAAGUUUGCUAGCAUCUGAGGGAUUGAUGGAUUGGAAACAUCUUAGUGAAAAGCUCAAAUUACAUGAGAAUGGUGCUGAGCAUAUCACUAACACGAAUACUUGGAAUGAGGUAAGGUUGAGGCUAAGUAAGAAGGAAACAAUUGAUAGAGAUUUAAUUGUUGCUGCUGUGAAAUUUCUUGCUAAACAUAAUUUGGCUUUUCGAGGAGCAAAUGAGAAAUUAUAUCAAGAUAACAAUGGGAACUUUUUGGGAGUAAUUGAAAUGAUGGCAGAAUUUGAUCCUGUAAUGCAAGAGCAUCUUCGGCGCAUUCAGAAUAAUGAAAUCCAUCAUCAUUAUCUUGGCCAUAAUAUUCAGAACGAGUUAAUUUCCUGUCUUGCUUGCGGUGUUAAAGGUUCUCUCUUGAAGAUAAUUAAGGAUGCAAGUGGACAAGGGUAUGACAAUGGUUCGAACAUGAAGGGAAAAAACAAAGGGGUACAGAGCAGAUUGCUUGCAACUAAUCCAAGAGCAUUGUACAUGCCGUGCUCUACUAAAAGAUGGCAGCUAUUGCUUGAUCAUGUUCCAAAAAUGACAGUUAAGUCUUUGUGUAACACUCGAUGGGAGAGUCAAAUAAAGAGUGUUCAUGCUAUCAGAUAUCAAGCACCUGAGUUAAGAAAAGCUUUAUUGGAAUUGAAGAGAACUUCUACUGAUGAUGCCAAGACUAAGAGCGACGCAAAAUCUUUGGCUAAUGCACUUGAGAAAUUUGAAUUUACACUGGGCAUGUCUAAAUUCGUGUGUAUUGAUGUUACUCUUAAACAGAUUGAAGGUGCCAUCUCAUAUUUUGAGAAGUAUAGAAAAGAAGGCUUUGCUACUAGCUUGGAUAUUGCGAGAUCUAUUGCAAUCGACAUGGGUGUACAGCCUUUAUUUCCUGAAAUUGAGGUGGAAUCAUUUAGAGUUAAAUACUUUCUGGUGAUGAUUGAUGUUGCAUUUGCUUCCUUGACUAGUAGAUUUGAGGAACUGAAGUCAUUUGGGAGCAUAUUUGGAUUCUUGUUCAACUCAAAAGAAUUGAAGUUGUUGGGUGAUAAUGAUCUAAGAAAAUUAUUGCAGAUGACAUUGCCAAACACACUCAUGUCAGCAGAUCAGAUAUUUGAGUUUGUUAGAGCUGCGGAUUGUUAUCCAAAUGUCUCAAUUGCUUAUCGUAUCCUCUUGACUGUACCGGUCACUGUUGCAUCGGCUGAAAGGAGUUUCUCAAAAUUGAAGUUACUGAAAAAUUAUUUAAGGUCAACAAUGUCCCAAGAUAGACUGAAUGGUUUGGCCAUGUGCUGCAUCGAGAAGAAUAUGUUGGACAGUAUUGAUCUUGACAUUGUCAUUGAUGAUUUUGCGUCAAAAAAUGCACAGAAGUCUCGCUUCUCAUGA